rnacentral:lncRNA from 1 species
CCCCCUCGGAGAAAGCGUUCUUCCCGUCCCUCCCUCCCCUGGGGAUUUGGUGCUCUUGUUGCACUUUUCCUCCUUACCUGUUGUGCAAACUUUGCUUUUUGUAGUAACGCAUCUCUUUGUGUUCUCAGCCGCAGCUGCCAAAAUCGUCUGUAAUAACGAGAGCUGAGCCGAAUGAAAUUGGGAUGCCGAGCCGCGUAGCCUGAAGUCCUGGUGGCAAAAUUUGGCAGCUCCCCUUACAGAACGAGCUGCACAGCCUCACGUGUGAGCUGCUGCCUUUAGUUAAGUGUGCUGGUGGGGAAGGCGAAGGCAAAUGCCUUAAGGUCUACCAUGCAUGUGCUGCAAAGAGUCAAAGCUCGGUUGUCAAAGCCAAGGUGACAGUGUAACGUCAAGGAGAAACUGACCUGGAAAAUUAGCCCGGUGGAAGAAGACUUAAAAGUGUUUUUGUCAGUUAAAUGGACUCCAAACGCCGGCAAACCCAAAACACAGCAGGUUUUGGGAGGAGGAGGCGCCCAGCGUCCUUUCCUCCUUGCCAUUAACCACCCGACUGAACUCGGACAAAAUUGGCAGCAGGUGAAGUGGGGAGGACUGUAAGUAGACACGUCGUAGCAACAGGGAACAAUUUGAGGCGCAUUUUGCACACCCGAGAGGAGCCGUCCGCCUUACUGAUGUGACACUGCCUGGAGCACACCGUUGGCCUCGCGGGAGAACCGCAUCGCAUCUCUCGUCCGAGAAGAUAAGAUUUGUGCUCCCUAUCAGCGUCCCCCAGUUUCUGCAUGAAAACCAAGCGUGCAUCACAGCUGGCAAACAAGGCAAAAGAAGAUGCAUAAGGGUACCUGAAAUGAAGCAGCUUCGAGGGAGCAGAGGAUGAAGAGCAGAUCUCCAAGCAUUAGAGGGUGAGUGCCAGAUUUCUUUUGUCUUUACAUCAAACCUCAUGAGUUGCCUUGCU